rnacentral:rRNA from 1 species
CUGGGGCUGUAGUCGGUCCCAAGGGUUGGGCUGUUCGCCCAUUAAAGCGGUACGCGAGCUGGGUUCAGAACGUCGUGAGACAGUUCGGUCCCUAUCCGUCGCGGGCGCAGGAAAUUUGAGAGGAGCUGUCCUUAGUACGAGAGGACCGGGAUGGACGCACCGCUGGUGUACCAGUUGUUCUGCCAAGGGCAUCGCUGGGUAGCUAUGUGCGGACGGGAUAAGUGCUGAAAGCAUCUAAGCAUGAAGCCCCCCUCAAGAUGAGAUUUCCCAUUCCGCAAGGAAGUAAGAUCCCUGAAAGAUGAUCAGGUUGAUAGGUCUGAGGUGGAAGUGUGGCGACACAUGGAGCUGACAGAUACUAAUCGAUCGAGGACUUAACCUAAA